ensembl:snRNA U6 U6 spliceosomal RNA
GUGUUUACUUUGGCAGCACAUACAUUAAAAUUGGAAUAAUGCAGAGAAGAUUAGCAUGACCCCUGUGCAGGAAUGACAUGCAAAUUUAUGAAGCAUUCCAUAUUUUA